rnacentral:rRNA from 1 species
CGCUGGCGGCGUGCCUAAUACAUGCAAGUCGAGCGGACUUGAUGAGAAGCUUGCUUCUCUGAUGGUUAGCGGCGGACGGGUGAGUAACACGUAGGCAACCUGCCUGUAAGACUGGGAUAACUACCGGAAACGGUAGCUAAUACCGGAUAGGUGAUUUUUCUCGCAUGAGGAAGUCAAGAAAGACGGAGCAAUCUGUCACUUACGGAUGGGCCUGCGGCGCAUUAGCUAGUUGGUGAGGUAAUGGCUCACCAAGGCGACGAUGCGUAGCCGACCUGAGAGGGUGAACGGCCACACUGGGACUGAGACACGGCCCAGACUCCUACGGGAGGCAGCAGUAGGGAAUCUUCCGCAAUGGACGAAAGUCUGACGGAGCAACGCCGCGUGAGUGAAUGAAGGUUUUCGGAUCGUAAAGCUCUGUUGCCAGGGAAGAACGUCUUAGAGAGUAACUGCUCUAAGAGUGACGGUACCUGAGAAGAAAGCCCCGGCUAACUACGUGCCAGCCGCCGC